CACGUAGGGUGCGAGCGUUGUCCGGAAUUAUUGGGCGUAAAGAGCUCGUAGGCGGUGUGUCGCGUCGGCCGUGAAAACCUGCAGCUUAACUGUGGGCUUGCGGUCGAUACGGGCAUCACUGGAGUUCGGCAGGGGAGACUGGAAUUCCUGGUGUAGCGGUGAAAUGCGCAGAUAUCAGGAAGAACACCCGUGGCUAAGGCGGUUCUCUAGUACGGUACUGACGCUGAGACGCGAAAGCGUGGGGAGCAAACAGG
rnacentral:rRNA from 1 species